rnacentral:rRNA from 1 species
GACGAACGCUGGCGGCGUGCUUAACACAUGCAAGUCGAACGAAGUGGCGGACGGGUGAGUAACGCGUAAUUAACCUGCCCUUCAGAGGGGGACAACAGUUGGACACGACUGCUAAUACCGCAUACGGAAGGAGGGGAUUGCGUCUGAUUUGCUAGUUGGAGGGGUAACGGCCCACCAAGGCGAUGAUCAGAAGCCGGUCUGGGGGGAGGAACGGCCACAUUGGGACUGAGACACGGCCCAGACUCCUACGGGAGGCAGCAGUGGGGAAUCUUCCGCCAUGGACGAAAGGCUGACGGAGCAACGCCGCGGGAGUGAUGACGGCCUUCGGGUUGGAAAGCUCUGUUAAUCGGGACGCGGUACCGGAAUAGAAAGCCACGGCUAACUACGUGCCAGCAGCCGCGGUAAUUC